GAUGAACGCUGGCGGCGUGCUUAACACAUGCAAGUCGAACGAGAAGUGAAGACGGAAACCUUCGGGCGGAAGGCUUUAUUUCGAGUGGCGGACGGGUGAGUAACGCGUGGGUAACCUGCCUCAUACAGGGGGAUAACAGUUGGAAACGACUGUUAAUACCGCAUAAGACCACAGCACCGCAUGGUGCGGGGGUAAAAACUCCGGUGGUAUGAGAUGGACCCGCGUUCGAUUAGCCAGUUGGCGGGGUAACGGCCCACCAAAGCGACGAUCGAUAGCCGAUCUGAGAGGAUGUCCGGCCACAUUGGGACUGAGACACGACCCAAACUCCUACGGGAGGCAGCAGUAGGGAAUAUUGCACAAUGGGGGAAACCCUGAUGCAGCGACGCCGCGUGAGUGAAGAAGUAUUUCGGUAUGUAAAGCUCUAUCAGCAGGGAAGAAAAUGACGGUACCUGAGAAAGAAGCCCCGGCUAACUACGUG
rnacentral:rRNA from 1 species